rnacentral:rRNA from 1 species
CCUACGGGAGGCAGCAGUAGGGAAUAUUGCUCAAUGGGCGAAACCCUGAAGCAGCAACGCCGCGUGGAGGAUGAAGGUUUUCGGAUUGUAAACUUCUUUUGUUAGAGAAGUUAAUGGCGGCAUCUAACGAUUUAUCACUGUCAAAUUUCGUUCCAGCUGCCGGGGUAAUGCGGGGGCGGCAACCGUUACUCGGAAUCUCGGGGCGUAAAGAGGGGGUAUGCGGGUUAGCAAGUCCGUUGUAAAGUCUUAUGGCUAAACGUAAAACUGCAAUUGAAACUGUUAUUCUAGAGUAUGGUAGAGGUAGGUGGAAUUCGUGGUGUAGCGGUAAAAUCCGUAGAGAUCAAGAUGAAUACUCAUUGCGAAGGCGACCUGCUAGAACAUGACUGACGCUGAUGCGCGAAAGCGUGGGGAGCAAACAGGAUUAGAUACCCUUGUAGUC